rnacentral:misc_RNA from 1 species
UGCGAUACACUUCUUGACCGUCUAGAUCAGCCAGGACGUUGGCACGUGUAGCGUAUUUUGCGGGGUCUCUCGAGAUUAGGAAUCGUCGUCCCUUUGUUGGUUGGUUUCUCGUGUGCACGGUGGGUUCGUUGCUUUGUUACUUUCGCAUCGUUCGGUGCAUUCUGGGGGCUGUGUUGGCUUUUCGUGGCUUGCUUGGCCUUUUGGCUUGGCUUGUUGCUACUUGUCGGGCGGCCUUCGGGAAUGUCGACCGUGGAGGUGCAUGAGUGGUGUUUGGUUUGUUACGUGUGGAUGGCUGUUUGCUUGCGCAACAACGUUCACGCUGCAUACCUCUUCAGUUUUGCGGCAAGGCUUUGUUUGGCUUGUCCGUAUUGUGGGUUUCCUGUGUUGCAUACCUAGUUGAUGGAAAAGUAUUGGGUUUUACGAUUUUCAUUUUCGUCCUGCGUCGUUCUUUCGGCAUGGGAUGAGCAAUGAAGCGAUCUUUAUGAUCCACCGUGCUGUUGCGUUUGCAACAAUGAUGUGGCCUAUGAAGCAUCGUUUGGUCUCUUGUAUACGGAAGCUCAUUUGGGCUUGGGUCUUUAUAAGAUCUUCGUUAUGCCCUUGUUAAGCGUUCUCGCUUCUCCUAAACGAUUG